UACGGGGGGAGCAAGCGUUGUUCGGAUUUACUGGGCGUAAAGGGCGCGUAGGCGGCAUGGCAAGUCGGGAGUGAAAGCCCGGGGCUCAACCCCGGAACUGCUUUCGAAACUGCCAAGCUAGAGUGCGGAAGAGGCAACUGGAAUUCCCAGUGUAGCGGUGAAAUGCGUAGAUAUUGGGAAGAACACCGGAGGCGAAGGCGGGUUGCUGGGCCGACACUGACGCUGAUGCGCGAAAGCCAGGGGAGCGAACGGG
rnacentral:rRNA from 1 species